GUGCUUAUUUUGGCAGGACAUAUACUAAAACUGGAAUGACACAGAAAAGAUUAUCUUGGCACCUAUGCAAUGAUGACAUGAAAUUUGUGAAGUAUUCCAUAUUUUU
ensembl:snRNA U6 U6 spliceosomal RNA